ACGAACGCUGGCGGCGUGCCUAACACAUGCAAGUCGAACGGGACUUGCCCCUUCGGGGACAAGUUUAGUGGCGGACGGGUGAGUAACGCGUGAGCAACCUACCUUUCAGUGGGGGACAACAGUUGGAAACGACUGCUAAUACCGCAUAACACUUAUUUAGGGCAUCUUAGAUAAGUCAAAGAUUUAUUGCUGGAAGAUGGGCUCGCGUCUGAUUAGCUAGUUGGUGGGGUAACGGCCCACCAAGGCGACGAUCAGUAGCCGGACUGAGAGGUUGAACGGCCACAUUGGGACUGAGAUACGGCCCAGACUCCUACGGGAGGCAGCAGUGGGGAAUAUUGGGCAAUGGGGGAAACCCUGACCCAGCAACGCCGCGUGAAGGAAGAAGGCCUUCGGGUUGUAAACUUCUUUUACCAGGGACGAAGGACGUGACGGUACCUGGAGAAAAAGCCACGGCUAACUACGUGCCAGCAGCCGCGGUAAUACGUAGGUGGCAAGCGUUGUCCGGAUUUACUGGGUGUAAAGGGCGUGUAGGCGGAGCUGCAAGUCAGAUGUGAAAUCUCCGGGCUUAACCCGGAAACUGCAUUUGAAACUGUAGCCCUUGAGUAUCGGAGAGGCAAGCGGAAUUCCUAGUGUAGCGGUGAAAUGCGUAGAUAUUAGGAGGAACACCAGUGGCGAAGGCGGCUUGCUGGACGACAACUGACGCUGAGGCGCGAAAGCGUGGGGAGCAAACAGGAUUAGAUACCCUGGUAGUCCACACAGUAAACGAUGAAUACUCGCUGUUUGCGAUAUACAGUAAGCGGCCAAGCGAAAGCGUUAAGUAUUCCACCUGGGGAGUACGACCGCAAGGUUGAAACUCAAAGGAAUUGACGGGGGCCCGCACAAGCAGUGGAUUAUGUGGUUUAAUUCGACGCAACGCGAAGAACCUUACCAGGAUUUGACAUCCCACUAACGAAGUAGAGAUACAUUAGGUACCCUUCGGGGGAAGUGGAGACAGGUGGUGCAUGGUUGUCGUCAGCUCGUGUCGUGAGAUGUUGGGUUAAGUCCCGCAACGAGCGCAACCCCUAUUGUUAGUUGCUACGCAAGAGCACUCUAGCGAGACUGCCGUUGACAAAACGGAGGAAGGCGGGGACGACGUCAAAUCAUCAUGCCCCUUAUGUCCUGGGCUACACACGUAAUACAAUGGCGUUUAACAAAGGGAAGCGAAGCCGCGAGGUGGAGCAAAUCCCGAAAAGGCGUCUCAGUUCGGAUUGCAGGCUGCAACUCGCCUGCAUGAAGCUGGAAUUGCUAGUAAUCGUGGAUCAGCAUGCCACGGUGAAUACGUUCCCGGGCCUUGUACACACCGCCCGUCACACCAUGAGAGUCGGGAACACCCGAAGUCCGUAGUCUAACCCGCAAGGGAGGGCGCGGCCGAAGGUGGGUCUGAUAAUUGGGGUG
rnacentral:rRNA from 1 species